rnacentral:rRNA from 1 species
UAAGUGGAGAGUUUGAUCCUGGCUCAGAGCGAACGCUGGCGGCGUGCUUAACACAUGCAAGUCGAGCGAGAAAGAGGGUUUCUGCCCUUGAGUACAGCGGCGAACGGGUGAGUAACACGUGGGUAAUCUGCCCUUGAGACGGGGAUAACCCGGGGAAACCCGGGCUAAUACCGGAUAAGACCACAGAAGGCAACUUCAGGGGUCAAAGGGAGCUUUCUUCGGGAAGCGCUCGUUCGAGGAGGAGCCCGCGUCCUAUCAGCUUGUUGGUGGGGUAAAAGCCUACCAAGGCGAAGACGGGUAGCUGGUCUGAGAGGAUAACCAGCCACACAGGGACUGAGACACGGCCCUGACUCCUACGGGAGGGGGGGAAACCCUGAUCCAGCGACGCCGCGUGGGUGAUGAAGGCUUUCGGGUCGUAAAGCCCUGUCAGGAGGAAAGAACGCUCCUAUGGCGAAUACCCAUGGGAAGUGACGGUACCUCCAAAGGAAGCACCGGCCAACUCCGUGCCAGCAGCCGCGGUAAGACGGAGGGUGCAAGCGUUGCUCGGAAUCACUGGGCGUAAAGGGUGCGUAGGCGGUCUCUUAAGUCUGGCGUGAAAGCCCAGGGCUCAGCCUUGGAAGUGCGCUAGAAACUGGGAGGCUUGAGUAUCGGAUGGGAGAGUGGAAUUCCUGGUGUAGCGGUGAAAUGCGUAGAUAUCAGGAGGAAUACCGGUGGCGAAGGCGACUCUCUGGACGAUAACUGACGCUGAGGCACGAAAGCGUGGGGAGCAAACAGGAUUAGAUACCCUGGUAGUCCACGCCGUAAACGAUGGGCAC